AUUGUUAAUGGAUCAAAUUUGGUCCAUCCUGCUCUCUGGAAUCCUUGAUUUCUUACAAGAUGACCAAACUUGCUCCAUUAGAACAAAACUAGUUUAGUUAACCUUAAAUUCCUAUCCAACAUGAGCUUAAAAGAACAAUCAUGAACAUGCUAAUUAAUCUUGUCCGCCCAACACUUCAAUAUGUUUAAUUAAAUUACACAGUUCUAUGUUCCUCCACCAAAAUUAGGCGGUGGCCAGAUG
rnacentral:misc_RNA from 1 species